rnacentral:rRNA from 1 species
CCCUUAGAUGUUCUGGGCCGCACGCGUGCUACACUGAGUGGAUCAGCGGGUCAGGUUGCGCGAAAGUGUUUCCUAAUCUUGAAAUCCGCUCGUGAUGGGGAUUGACGGUUGCAAUUUUCCGUCAUGAACGAGGAAUACCUUGUAAGCGCGGGUCAUCAUCCCGCGCUGAAUACGUCCCUGCCCUUUGUACACACCGCCCGUCGCUCCUACCGAUUGAGUGGUCCGGUGAAGUCUCGAGAUUGUGGCAAUCUCCUUUAUUGGAGUUUGACUGCGAGAACUUGCCUAAACCUUAUCACUUAGAGGAAGGUGAAGUCGUAACA